rnacentral:rRNA from 1 species
UGCGUAGGCGGAAUAUUAAGUCAGUGGUGAAAUCCUGCGGCUCAACCGUAGAACUGCCAUUGAUACUGAUAUUCUUGAAUGUAGUUGAGGUAGGCGGAAUGUGUAAUGUAGCGGUGAAAUGCUUAGAUAUUACACAGAACACCGAUUGCGAAGGCAGCUUACUAAACUAUGAUUGACGCUGAUGCACGAAGGCGUGGGGAGCGAACAGGAUUAGAUACCCUGGUAGUCC